CACGUAGGGCGCAAGCGUUGUCCGGAAUUAUUGGGCGUAAAGAGCGUGUAGGCGGCCAGGUAGGUCUGCUGUGAAAACUCGAGGCUCAACCUCGAGACGUCGGCGGAAACCAUCUGGCUAGAGUCCGGAAGAGGAGAGUGGAAUUCCUGGUGUAGCGGUGAAAUGCGCAGAUAUCAGGAAGAACACCCGUGGCGAAGGCGGCUCUCUGGGACGGUACUGACGCUGAGGCGCGAAAGCCAGGGGAGCGAACGGG
rnacentral:rRNA from 1 species